CCUACGGGUGACAGCAGUGAGGAAUAUUGGUCAAUGGACGAGAGUCUGAACCAGCCAAGUAGCGUGAAGGAUGACUGCCCUAUGGGUUGUAAACUUCUUUUAUAUGGGAAUAAAAUGUUCCACGUGUGGGAUUUUGUAUGUACCAUAUGAAUAAGGAUCGGCUAACUCCGUGCCAGCAGCCGCGGUAAUACGGAGGAUCCGAGCGUUAUCCGGAUUUAUUGGGUUUAAAGGGAGCGUAGGUGGAUUGUUAAGUCAGUUGUGAAAGUUUGCGGCUCAACCGUACAAUUGCAGUUGAAACUGGCAGUCUUGAGUACAGUAGAGGUGUGCGGAAUUCGUGGUGUAGCGGUGAAAUGCUUAGAUAUCACGAAGAACUCCGAUUGCGAAGGCAGUUCACUGGACUGCAACUGACACUGAGGCUCGAAAGUGUGGGUAUCAAACAGGAUUAGAUACCCGUGUAGUC
rnacentral:rRNA from 1 species